rnacentral:tRNA from 1 species
GUGGUUCAGUGGUAGAAUUCCCACUUUCCAUGUGGGAGAUCUGGGUUCGAUUUCUGGC